GACGAACGCUGGCGGCGUGCCUAAUACAUGCAAGUAGAACGCUGAAGCCUGGUGCUUGCACCGAGCGGAUGAGUUGCGAACGGGUGAGUAACGCGUAGGUAACCUGCCUGGUAGCGGGGGAUAACUAUUGGAAACGAUAGCUAAUACCGCAUAAGAGUAGAUGUUGCAUGACAUUUGCUUAAAAGGUGCAAUUGCAUCACUACCAGAUGGACCUGCGUUGUAUUAGCUAGUUGGUGAGGUAACGGCUCACCAAGGCAACGAUACAUAGCCGACCUGAGAGGGUGAUCGGCCACACUGGGACUGGGACACGGCCCAGACUCCUACGGGAGGCAGCAGUAGGGAAUCUUCGGCAAUGGACGGAAGUCUGACCGAGCAACGCCGCGUGAGUGAAGAAGGUUUUCGGAUCGUAAAGCUCUGUUGUAAGAGAAGAACGAGUGUGAGAGUGGAAAGUUCACACUGUGACGGUAUCUUACCAGAAAGGGACGGCUAACUACGUG
rnacentral:rRNA from 1 species